rnacentral:rRNA from 1 species
CGUAAAGCGUACGUAGGCGGUUAUUUAAGUCAGAUGUGAAAGCCCCGGGCUUAACCUGGGAACUGCAUUUGAGACUGGAUGACUAGAGUUUAGUAGAGGGGAGUGGAAUUUCAGGUGUAGCGGUGAAAUGCGUAGAGAUCUGAAGGAACACCAGUGGCGAAGGCGACUCCCUGGACUAAAACUGACGCUGAGGUACGAAAGCGUGGGUAGCAAACAGGAUUAGAUACCCUGGUAGUCCACGCCGUAAACGAUGUCAACUAACCGUUGGGCCUAUAUACAGGUUUAGUGGUGGAGCUAACGUAUUAAGUUGACCGCCUGGGGAGUACGGCCGCAAGGUUAAAACUCAAAUGAAUUGACGGGGGCCCGCACAAGCGGUGGAGCAUGUGGUUUAAUUCGAUGCAACGCGAAGAAUCUUACCUACCCUUGACAUCCUCGGAACUUGUCAGAGAUGACUUGGUGCCUUCGGGAACCGAGAGACAGGUGCUGCAUGGCUGUCGUCAGCUCGUGUCGUGAGAUGUUGGGUUAAGUCCCGUAACGAGCGCAACCCUUAUCCUUAGUUGCCAACAGUUUGGCUGGGAACUCUAAGGAGACUGACGGUGAUAAACCGGAGGAAGGUGGGGACGACGUCAAGUCAUCAUGGCCCUUAUGGGUAGGGCUACACACGUGCUACAAUGGCCGGUACAGAGGGCAGCGAACUCGCGAGGGCAAGCAAAUCUCAGAAAGCCGGUCUUAGUCCGGAUUGCAGUCUGCAACUCGACUGCAUGAAGUCGGAGUCGCUAGUAAUCGCGAAUCAGAAUGUCGCGGUGAAUACGUUCCCGGGCCUUGUACACACCGCCCGUCACACCAUGGGAGUGGGUUGCAAAAGAAGUGGGUAGUCUAACCUUCGGGAGGGCGCUCACCACUUUGUGAUUCAUGACUGGGGUGAAGUCGUAACAAGGUAACC